UACUGCUCCGAUUACAGCAGUAAACACUGGGCAGCGGCCCCCGCGAGGGAGGGGUUGUUUGGAAGUCGUUUAAAGACAGUGUCACCCUCGGGAUAAAUGCCCAGAAGCCGGGGCCACUGCCACGAUGGGCUGGGAAGUGUGGGGACACCCGCGGCCAAGCGAGGCUUUGGCCCGAGUUUGGCUGCAGGUCAGGCCCAGGGCUUCCAGAGAAGAAACUGCCAGACUGGCAGGGCUUAAACCUUCCAGAAGGUAUAUAUCGGUCCUUCUUCAGGAGCGGGGAUGCCCCUGGGGCCGGUGGCCUGGCGGCGAGGCUGCUCCUAGCGUCGCGCCUAGCCAGCCCGCUGCUCCGGCCGUGUCCCGGGCCCCAGGCUGGCCGCUGCGGACACUUCCUGUCCCGCCGCCCAAAGCUCGCGCUCUCGAGGUAACCGGAGUGGGAAUGGCCGGCCCGGAGGUUGCGGAGGUGUGAAGGGACGGCCAGAGGCCAGCGCCUCAGGCGUCUUCUCCUGCCUGGCCUGCAGAAGUGCUUGUAUUCACAAAUCUCUGGGAGUUGAAACAAAAUUCAAGGCACAGAGAAGCUGAGCCAAGUUCAAAGUCACAUCGCCGUCCACUCUCAGAAGUGCUUUAUUUCUCUACAAACUGCAAAACCCCUUUCCUUCGUGACACCGUAUUUUUUUUUUUAAGGAAGGAAAGGGAAGAGCGGGCGAGAGAGAGCAAGGGGGGGGGACCUGCAAAGGCUUUCAGAGUUAUUGCCUCAAAAGUAGACUCGGGUUCCUUGGCUGGAGGGAAAAAAAAAAAAAAAAGGCGGCCAAGCUGCUUCUGCGUUCUGCACGGCGUGAGUGAAUUCAGUUUUUCAACAGGUUUCUGGAAGGGCCUGUCUGCGGCGGUGUCAGGCCCGCAGGACCUGCAACUGUCUCCAUCCUGCAAACGUGUUCCCUCUUUGUAAGUUUCCCAAAAUUAUUCUUUGGAAAUCUUAGGGAGCCCGCAUCGUGUUGGGCCAGAGCCUGGGACUGAUGAGCAUCCGGCCCCAGGGCGUGCAUCCGGCGUACAUUUCUCUCUAAGUGGAGGGAAUGACAGCAAGAUGGAGAAUUCGGCUAUCUUGAAAAAAUGGACAAUCCCCACAAACAUCCAAGCACUCAUCAACCAAGCACCUUGUUGCGGUUUGCAGGCCUAUGUAAACGGUAUUGACUAAGUUC